AUUGAACGCUGGCGGCAUGCUUUACACAUGCAAGUCGAACGGUAACAGGCCGCAAGGUGCUGACGAGUGGCGUACGGGUGAGUAAUGCAUCGGAAUGUGCCCAGUCGUGGGGGAUAACUACUCGAAUGAGUAGCUAAUACCGCAUACGAUCUAUGGAUGAAAGCGGGGGACCGUAAGGCCUCGCGCGAUUGGAGCGGCCGAUGUUAGAUAGGUAGUUGGUGGGGUAAAGGCUCACCAAGGCAACGAUUUGUAGCUGGUCUGAGAGGACGACCAGCCACACUGGGACUGAGACACGGCCCAGACUCCUACGGGAGGCAGCAGUAGGGAAUUUUGGACAAUGGGCGCAAGCCUGAUCCAGCAAUGCCGCGUGCAGGAAGAAGGCCUUCGGGUUGUAAACUGCUUUUGUACGGGACGAAACGGCUCUGGUUAAUACCCGGGGCUAAUGACGGUACCGGAAGAAUAAGCACCGGCUAACUACGUG
rnacentral:rRNA from 1 species